AAACAACGGAAAGAUUUAAUAUUUUUGCAGUGUUUACUUAAAAUGAGGAUUGUGAUUAAGAUUGUUGUGCGUUUCGUUCAAGACAAGUAUGUAUUUGUUUUGAAACAAAUGUAAUCCGCCUUCAAACAAUUAAACGAUCAGACUCGUUUAGACUUGAUUAGCUCUAGUUAAGGGGCGUGGCAAUGUGAUUAGCGGGCUUCUCAAUUGGCUGUUGUCUUCGCAGACGUCGCUCGCUAUUGGCUGCGCUGUGGGAGUAGCAGAGAGCGUUUAAAGUACAGUACUGCAGCCUUUGAAGAAGGCAGAGUGAGGUAUGACAGAUGAGGCUGCUCUGCAUGCGAUGUUCUCCGUUUGCAUAGAUGAAAACACCUCUCGAUAUGCAAGGAAGAGCUAGACGUGGAUUAAAGCACUGACGACCCGAUCAACAUCGAGUGGUUGACGGAGAAGUGCAUUGGCAAAACAAAUCGGCAAGACUACCUUCAUCGAAGCAACUGA
ensembl:lncRNA